rnacentral:tRNA from 1 species
CGAUUCCGUUGCUGGAGGCCGAUCCGGUCACGUCGCUGAUGUCGGCGUGAGACCGUUGAUCAUUCUUCUUGUGAUCGUGUCGUGAUCGUGUCGU